GACGAACGCUGGCGGCGUGCUUAACACAUGCAAGUCGAACGGAAAGGCUCCAGCUUGCUGGAGUGCUCGAGUGGCGAACGGGUGAGUAACACGUGGGCAAUCUGCCUUGCACUCUGGGAUAAGCCUGGGAAACUGGGUCUAAUACCGGAUAGGACCUUUCUCCUCAUGGGGUUUGGUGGAAAGUUUUUCGGUGCAGGAUGAGCCCGCGGCCUAUCAGCUUGUUGGUGGGGUAAUGGCCUACCAAGGCGACGACGGGUAGCCGGCCUGAGAGGGUGAUCGGCCACAUUGGGACUGAGAUACGGCCCAGACUCCUACGGGAGGCAGCAGUGGGGAAUAUUGCACAAUGGGCGAAAGCCUGAUGCAGCGACGCCGCGUGAGGGAUGACGGCCUUCGGGUUGUAAACCUCUUUCAGUAGGGACGAAGCGCAAGUGACGGUACCUGCAGAAGAAGCACCGGCUAACUACGUG
rnacentral:rRNA from 1 species